rnacentral:rRNA from 1 species
AGGGCACAGGGCGGAUGCCUUGGCACUAAGAGCCGAUGAAAGACGUGAUAAGCUGCGAAAAGCUUCGGGGAGGAGCACAUAUCCAAUGAUCCGGAGAUAUCUGAAUGGGGAAACCCGGCAGAGGAAACCUCUGUCAGCGUGCAGUGAAUACAUAGCUGUACGUGGGGAACCCGGGGAACUGAAACAUCUAAGUACCCGGAGGAAGAGAAAGAAAAUUUAUCGAUUUCCAAAGUAGCGGCGAGCGAAAUGGAAAGAGCCCAAACCGUGAUGCGUGCAUCGCGGGGUUCGGACUGCGUUGUGGCAGACGUAAGAUAGGAGAACGGACUGGGAAGUCCGGCCGGAGAGAGUGAAAGCCUCGUAUCCGAAAUCCCAAGUCGCCUAGCAGGAUCCAGAGUAGGACGAGACACGAGAAACCUUGUCUGAACGAGCGGGGACCACCCCGUAAGGCUAAAUACUUCUUAGUGACCGAUAGCGCAUAGUACUGUGAAGGAAAGGUGAAAAGUACCCCGGGAGGGGAGUGAAAGAGAACCUGAAACCCUGUGUCUACAAGCUGUGGGACCUCUUUAUAUGAGGGACUGCGUACUUUUUGUAGAACGGUCCGGCGAGUUGUGCGUACUGGCGAGGUUAAGGACUUAAGGUCUGGAGCCGAAGUGAAAGCAAGCGUUAAUAGCGCGUCAAGUCAGUGAGUGCAGACCCGAAACCGGGUGACCUAUCCAUGUCCAGGUUGAAGCUUCCGUAAGAGGAAGUGGAGGACCGAACCCACAUCCGUUGAAAAGGGUGGGGAUGAGGUGUGGAUAGCGGAGAAAUUCCAAUCGAACCCGGAGAUAGCUGGUUCUCCUCGAAAUAGCUUUAGGGCUAGCCUCAUGGAUCAUUGAUGGGGGUAGAGCACUGAAUGUGCGCGGGGGCCACAAAGCCUACCAAACGCUAUCAAACUUCGAAUACCAUACAAUGCAGACCAUGGGAGUCAGUCCGCGAGAGAUAAGUUCCGCGGGCAAAAGGGGAACACCCCAGAUCAACCGCUAAGGUCCCCAAGUUCACGUUAAGUGGAGAAGGAUGUGGAAUUGCACAGACAACCAGGAUGUUGGCUCAGAAGCAGCCACACAUUUAAAGAGUGCGUAAUAGCUCACUGGUCGAGUGAUUGUGCGCCGAAGAUGUCCGGGGCUAAACGUGACACCGAAGCGAUGGGUGCAUCUGAAAGGAUGCGCGGUAGAGGAGCAAUGUGCAGAGGCAGAAGCCGUAUCGAGAGGCACGGUGGACACUGCACAAGAGAGAAUGCCGGUAUGAGUAGCGAGAGGCAUGCGAGAAACAUGCCCGUCGAAAGCCCAAGGUUUCCUGGGGAAGGUUCAUCCGCCCAGGGUAAGUCGGGGCCUAAGCCGAGGACGGAAGUCGUAGGCGAUGGACAGCAGGUGUAGAUUCCUGCACUACCGAUGGAAUGAAGCAGUGACACAGAAGGAUAACUCGAGCAGGGUGAUGGUCAACCCUGUGCAAGCAUCAAGGUUGGGUUGUAGUGAAGUACGCAAUCCUAUAAGCUGAGAUGUGAUGCGGACCGAAAUUUCAGUAGGGAAGCGAGUGAGUUCACGCUGGCGAGAAAAGCUGCUAGUACAUCCAAAGGUACCCGUACCGGAAACCGACGCAGGUGGGCGAGGAGAGAAUCCUGAGACGAACGGGAGAACCCUUGUUAAGGAACUCGGCAAAAUGACCCCGUAACUUCGGGAUAAGGGGUGCCUGCGAGAGCAGGCCGCAGAGAAUAGUCACAAGCGACUGUUUAGCAAAAACACAGGUAUCUGCGAAAGCGAGAGCUGACGUAUAGGUGCUGACACCUGCCCGGUGCUGGAAGGUUAAGGGAACAUGUUAGAGCAAUCGAAGCAUCGAACCGAAGCCCCAGUAAACGGCGGCCGUAACUAUAACGGUCCUAAGGUAGCGAAAUUCCUUGUCGGGUAAGUUCCGACCCGCACGAAUGGUGUAACGACUUGUGAGCUGUCUCAACAGGGGGCCCGGUGAAAUUGAAGUAUGGGUGAAGAUGCCCAUUACCCGCGACUGGACGGAAAGACCCCGUAGAGCUUUACUGCAGCCUGAUAUUGAGUUUCGGUAACUGAUGCACAGGAUAGGUGGGAGUCUGAGAGACAUGGGUUUCGGCUCGUGUGGAGACGCUGUUGGGAUACCACUCUUCGGUUACUGAAAUUCUAACAUAGCUCUGUGAAACCAGAGGAUGGACAGUGUCAGGUGGACAGUUUGACUGGGGCGGUCGCCUCCGAAAGAGUAACGGAGGCGCCCAAAGGUACCCUCAGAAUGGAUGGAAACCAUUCGAAGAGCGCAAAGGCAGAAGGGUGCCUGACUGCGAGAUUGACAAAUCGAGCAGAGACGAAAGUCGGGCUUAGUGAUCCGGCGGUAUUGAGUGGAAAAGCCGUCGCUUAACGGAUAAAAGCUACCUCGGGGAUAACAGGCUGAUCUCCCCCAAGAGUCCACAUCGACGGGGAGGUUUGGCA